rnacentral:rRNA from 1 species
AGCGAACGCUGGCGGCAGGCUUAAUACAUGCAAGUCGAGCGGGCGUAGCAAUACGUCAGCGGCAGACGGGUGAGUAACACGUGGGAACGUGCCUUUUGGUUCGGAACAACCCAGGGAAACUUGGGCUAAUACCGGAUAAGCCCUUCGGGGAAGGAUUUAUCGCCAAAAGAUCGGCCCGCGUCUGAUUAGCUAGUUGGUGGGGUAAUGGCCCACCAAGGCGACGAUCAGUAGCUGGUCUGAGAGGAUGAUCAGCCACACUGGGACUGAGACACGGCCCAGACUCCUACGGGAGGCAGCAGUAGGGAAUAUUGGACAAUGGGGGAAACCCUGAUCCAGCCAUGCCGCGUGAGUGAUGAAGGCCUUAGGGUUGUAAAGCUCUUUCAGCGGGAAGAUAAUGACGGUACCCGCAGAAGAAGCCCGGCUAACUUCGUGCCAGCAGCCGCCGUAAU